rnacentral:rRNA from 1 species
UACGUAGGAGACGAGGCGUUGUCCGGAAUUAUUGGGCGUUAAAGGAGCUCGUAGGCGGGUUUGUCGCGUCGGGAGUGAAACCAGGUGCUUAACACCUCGGCUUGCUUUCGAUACGGGCAGACUAGAGUGUGGUAGGGGAGACUGGAAUUCCUGGUGUAGCGGUGAAAUGCGCAGAGUAUCAGGAGGAACACCGAUGGCGAAGGGCAGGUCUCUGGGCCACUACUGACGCUGAGAAGCGGAAAGCAUGGG